UGUGGAUUGUAACAGUACCUUGAGUUUUUUUUUCCUUCAUGCUCACGAGUUAUUAAAGGCAGAUCUUUUUCUAUUUUUACUGGGAGUAUUUCAAUUUCUCCAAAAUUCUCGCGAGCUGUUAAAACUACAAGCAAAACUAUUUUUUUAUGCCUGAAAGACGUGGAUCAAUUGGCACCAUAUUUUUUUCUUUUUCUCCUCUCUCACCAGCCGACAAAGGCAAAUCAAUUUUUCUUUUCUUUCUUCCCUCUUCACACUAGCAACACUGGCUCUCUCUUUUCAUCUUAGCCUUUUCAUUUGAAUCGCUUAAUUUCGGGGUUGUUUUGUUUCUGAUUAAGAGUUGACUUCUUUUUUUCACGCAUCAACAUCCUUUUAUUUGAAGUUAAAGGACUUUUCAAAGAUGGUUUUUUGAAUUUCUUUACAGUAAUUAUGGUUGAUUUGUUUUUGCAUCUAUUUUUUUAGGAGUUGAAGACAGAAAAGAGAGAAGCAAGGAAGGCCAUGUCGGGUUAGAGUCUGUAGAUAAAAGUCGACAGAUCAUAUAUAUGCUAUAAAAAAGCUUGAGAAAUUAGAGAUGCUUUGUUGAGGCCAGGUGUGUGAUUUUGUUAAGCUUUCUUAACAAUUUUAUUGGAUUUCUUUUUCAUUAUAUGCUUAUUUCCAAUUUGGAUCUAAAUGUCCACGUUAAACAUUUGAAAGUAGAAAAGUUUCACAAAUUAUUUUAGAUUGAAGUUCAAUUCGACGGAUAAGUUAGGGUUUAAACACAUCUAUGACUACAAUUUAAAUAGACUUUGAAAUAUGAUUGUGGAUCUUCCGGGGGAGUAUUUUUUUUAUCGUUCACAAUUUUAAUUUCUUUUUUGUUUUCAUGGAUUGUUUUUGAGAUAAUAAUGAAAGCAAUGUCAAUCAAAAGUUUAGCAUGAUUGUCAAUUAUAACCUUAUUUUAAUCUUCUUUGAUUCUAAUUACUACUGAUAUAUUUAUUGGUUUUUUUCCUUUUUGUCUAUGAUAUGUCUUUUGGUUAUUGUGCCCAUAAUUAUUUUACAAUGAAUCAUCCAGGAUUAAAUUAUUGCAUUAUCCAGUGGCUUUUAAUCAACCAUUUUUUAAAAGUGUUUUUUCUUCCAUAAGUAGAUGGUAUCCAGGUGAGAGUGUUCAUAUUGUUAAAAUAUUUGACUCAGUGUGCUACUGUCUCUAUAUUAUAAGAGUGCAUUGCUUCAGGUAUUUUUAUCCGAGUGAACAAGUUUCAUAUAUUACAGGAAAAAAAAAUUAUGUUCUCAUCUUACCUUUCCACAAUUUGGUUUUUUGUUCUAAUAGUUGGAGGUGCUAGGUGUGCUGUUAUUUUUACAUGGUUUAAUUUACUCCUUAUAAGGACCCAUACUCCAUAAGUAAGAUGCAUUUUUUUUCCACAUAUUGCGAGGUUGUUUUGCUUUCUCCUGUUUUCAGAAUUCAACAGAAUUUAUACUUUUGAAUUUAUAUUUUUAUCAAGAUAUAUAUAUAUAUAUAUAUAUAUAUAUAUAUAUAUAUAUAUAUAUAUAUAUAUAUAUAUAUAUAUAUAUAUAUACACUUGAUAAAAGAAAAGUGGGGGCGGGGGGUGUUAAUGAAAUAAAUAAAAGACGUAGGCCUUGACUAUUUCUUUUCAUAUAUGCUAAGUUUUUUUUUUUUGUUAUUGGUUAUUUCAAUCUCUUUUUUUUACACCUUGAAUCUGCAAUUAAGAAGAAAAAAGUCAGAAACUUAAAUUAUCUUAGUUGCUUUUAUGGUAUUAUUUCUAAAGGAUUAAUUUUUUUUAUUGAAACGGGGUAUGAUUUGCACAAUAGCCUUACUUUUAUUUUUUAACUAAUAAUUUUAUCGAUGAGAUUUGACUGACUGUAGCCUGUUUUGUCAAAUGCAGCUUUACAGGUAAUAAUCUAGAUCUCAACUCUAUUAACUGUCAUUGCAUAUUUGGUUCAUCUUUGUUUACCUUUUCAUUUUUCUUAUACCUUCGGUCCACAAUAAUUUACUACUAAAUCAACUGCAGCACCUUGCUCUUUUUUUUCCAGUCUUUGCUGUUGAGAUGAUCAUAUUUCAUAUGAUAUCUCACUACCAAAUUUUGUGUAGGCUUCUGACUUUUUACAACAUAUUCUACCUAGCUUUAAUUGGUUGAAGUGAACUUACAUUCCUUAGGCUUAACUAUUGGCUUGGCAACUAACUUGCCUAGCAUUCUUUAUCUUUAAUCCAUAUCACUUUGAUGGAUUAUGGCUUCUCAAGUUUAUGCUGCACCAUUUUUUUUCUGGUAUAAUUUAUCCACUGCUUUUGCUGGUGUAGAACUGUGCUAGCAGUUUCUCUUACUCAAAAUCUUUCAAGUCCUAACAAGUUAUUUAAAGUCUUUCUAAGAAAUUUUCGUUUAUCUUACUUGAUAACCAUGAUUGCAAUUAUAUUUGUUUCCAUGUUGCAUUUUCAUUUCUGAUAUUACAAGAAAACAUUCUAUAGACUUGCUUUAUUGACAAUUCUGUAUGUUUUUGCAGGCUCUAUGCUGCUUUGGAUUGGUAUUAUUUAAAAAUAAUUUAUCUAUUAAGUUAACUAUGUUUCUUAAUGUCUCUGCUUUUAGUUUAGUGGCAAUAGGUUUUUGGAUAUUGGUUGAAUAUCAAAUGAUUUGUAUUUGAAUUGUGUUUUGCGGUUUCAUUGUUAUACAUUGAGAAAUUAAUAGAAUGCAUGGUCCAACAACUUUUUUAUUUUA